rnacentral:rRNA from 1 species
GGAGCAAACAGGAUUAGAUACCCUGGUAGUCCACCCGUAAACGAUUUCGACUUGGAGGUUGUGCCCUUGAGGGUGGCUUCCGGAGCUAACGCUUAAGUCGACCGCCUGGGGAGUACGGCCGCAAGGUUAAAACUCAAAUGAAUUGACGGGGGCCCGCCCAAGCGGUGGAGCAUGUGGUUUAAUUCGAUGCAACGCGAAGAACCUUACCUACUCUUGACAUCCAGAGAACUUAGCAGAGAUGCUUUGGUGCCUUCGGGAACUCUGAGACAGGUGCUGCAUGGCUGUCGUCAGCUCGUGUUGUGAAAUGUUGGGUUAAGUCCCGCAACGAGCGCAACCCUUAUCCUUUGUUGCCAGCGGUCCGGCCGGGAACUCAAAGGAGACUGCCAGUGAUAAACUGGAGGAAGGUGGGGAUGACGUCAAGUCAUCAUGGCCCUUACGAGUAGGGCUACACACGUGCUACAAUGGCGCAUACAAAGAGAAGCGACCUCGCGAGAGCAAGCGGACCUCAUAAAGUGCGUCGUAGUCCGGAUUGGAGUCUGCAACUCGACUCCAUGAAGUCGGAAUCGCUAGUAAUCGUGGAUCAGAAUGCCACGGUGAAUACGUUCCCGGGCCUUGUACACACCGCCCGUCACACCAUGGGAGUGGGUUGCAAAAGAAGUAGGUAGCUUAACCUUCGGGAGGGCGCUUACCACUUUGUGAUUCAUGACUGGGGUGAAGUCGUAACAAG